AUUGAACGCUGGCGGCAGGCCUAACACAUGCAAGUCGAGCGGCAGCGGGGGAAAGCUUGCUUUCCCGCCGGCGAGCGGCGGACGGGUGAGUAAUGUCUGGGAAACUGCCUGAUGGAGGGGGAUAACUACUGGAAACGGUAGCUAAUACCGCAUAACGUCUUCGGACCAAAGUGGGGGACCUUCGGGCCUCAUGCCAUCAGAUGUGCCCAGAUGGGAUUAGCUAGUAGGUGGGGUAACGGCUCACCUAGGCGACGAUCCCUAGCUGGUCUGAGAGGAUGACCAGCCACACUGGAACUGAGACACGGUCCAGACUCCUACGGGAGGCAGCAGUGGGGAAUAUUGCACAAUGGGCGCAAGCCUGAUGCAGCCAUGCCGCGUGUAUGAAGAAGGCCUUCGGGUUGUAAAGUACUUUCAGCGGGGAGGAAGGUGCUGUGGUUAAUAACCACAGCAAUUGACGUUACCCGCAGAAGAAGCACCGGCUAACUCCGUGCCAGCCGCCGCCGUAA
rnacentral:rRNA from 1 species